rnacentral:rRNA from 1 species
UACAGAGGUCCCAAGCGUUGUUCGGAUUCAUUGGGCGUAAAGGGUGCGUAGGCGGCGCGGUAAGUCGGGUGUGAAAUCUCGGAGCUUAACUCCGAAACUGCAUUCGAUACUGCCGUGCUUGAGGACUGGAGAGGAGACUGGAAUUUACGGUGUAGCGGUGAAAUGCGUAGAUAUCGUAAGGAAGACCAGUGGCGAAGGCGAAUCUCUGGACAGUUACUGACACUGAGGCACGAAGGCCAGGGGAGCAAACGGG